rnacentral:rRNA from 1 species
UAUGUAGGGUGCAAGCGUUAAUCGGAAUUACUGGGCGCAAAGCGUGCGCAGGCGGUUGUGCAAGACAGAUGUGAAAUCCCCGGGCUUAACCUGGGAACUGCAUUUGUGACUGCACAGCUGGAGUGCGGCAGAGGGGGAUGGAAUUCCGCGUGUAGCAGUGAAAUGCGUAGAUAUGCGGAGGAACACCGAUGGCGAGGGCAAUCCCCUGGGCCUGCACUGACGCUCAUGCACGAAAGCGUGGGGAGCAAACAGG